GGUGGAAGCCUGGAACUUUCUAUUGUCUCAAAUUGGCACUCAAAUCUCACAUUCCCCUGAGUCAUCUGGUCAGAAGCAGUUAAAAAAAAAAAAAAAAAAAAAAACUUAGGCGUGUAAAGACAUAGACAUCCCACCUGAGCACUGACGGUAACAAGCCUUCCGCCAUGGAGAAACAAUGAAGACAAUGAAGUCACACACCCUAUUCAGUGAGGUCGCCAUUGUCAGCCAGCGAACUACUCAAAAUACAAUACUGGGUGAUGACUUCCCCAAACAGCCACACUCCUGUCUGCAGAAAAGAGAAAACUUUCUGUCUACAAUACUUCUGUCAGAGCUCAUGUAGUUUUCCUAACAAAAUAGUCUCCUUGGCUACCCAGCACGUUAAGAGGGCGCCUUCUAAGGGCUGGAUGAGUUUUAGGAGGAGGCCCUAAAAACCAAUAGCCAGGGGAGGCUCCGGUAAUCCUGUCUUUGGUUCCUCCUGGUUACCAGGAAGCUCCCUGGAUAAGAAAGGGUCGGUGCUGUCCCCAAACUGUCAGCUUUCAGGAGGCUGAAUUCUAACCAUGGUCAAAUCUCGGGAUUCAGGAAGCCUUGAGCAGAGGGACCACUUCACUUCGAUCCUGGCACUGGAUACAGGAUGGGCUGGGAUGAGUCAGGUGAUCUGGACCACCCAGCUCUCCAGAAGAACUACAGAAGCCUAGCUGCAAAGUACAUGGUCCUGAGUACCCAAGACAUCCCCAAAGCAGCUCCCAGGGGCUCGGGUUGUCUCCUGAACUGGCUGUGGGAGUCUUAAAGAGCAAUCUCCCACACCUUCACCACCAGGUGCUGUGACAGGUCUGACCUCCAAUCCAGAUAAUCCAGAUCUCAGAGACCUGACUCUGCAAACCUGGUUCAUCUCUCCACUUCCUGCCAUAUCUUUCUGAUCUAUUUCUUUAUCCGUAAACAUUGUAAGUUAGAUUGAUAAUACACUUUUUGUAUCUACAAGGGCAAA